GUCCUUUUGAAAUUAAUUUUAGGUCUGGCCUGCCCACUGAAGUAUUUAAAUGGCCGUGGUAUUUUGACCGUGCUAAGGUAGCAUAAUCAUUAGUUUUUUAAUUAAAAGCUGGAAUGAAGGGUUAGAUAAAAAAAUAACUGUCUCUAUUUAAUUAUAUUAGAAUUUUAUUUUUAAGUUAAAAAGCUUAAUUUAAGUUAAAAGACGAGAAGACCCUAUAGAGUUUUAUUAUGAUUUAUUUUUUUUAUUUUAGAAUUUAUAUAUUAAAUUUGAUUUAUAAUUUGAUUGGGGCGAUUUAAAAAUUUAUUUAACUUUUUUUGUAAUAUAACAUUAAUUUAUGAGUAAUUGAUCCAUUUUUUUUGAUUAUAAGAUAAAAUUACCUUAGGGAUAACAGCGUAAUUUUUUUAGAAAGUUCAUAUUGAAAAAAAAGAUUGCGACCUCGAUGUUGGAUUAAAAUAAAUUUUUGGUGUAGAAGCUAAAAUAUUAGGUCUGUUCGACCUUUAAAAUUUUACAUGAUCUGAGUUUAAACCGGUGUGAGCCAGGUUGGUUUCUAUCUUUAAUUAAUUAAAAUAUUUUAGUACGAAAGGACCAAAUAUUUAAUAUAUUAUUUU
rnacentral:rRNA from 1 species